UUUUUUUUCAUCAACUUUUUUUUUCAAGUUUCUUUUUCGACGUUUUUUUUUCUCGUGUUUGGACGAUGUCUCAAACAAUGAGGUCUGUCGAUGCUGCGGCGCUCAUGGCUUGGGUAAAAAGGUGA
rnacentral:ribozyme from 1 species